rnacentral:rRNA from 1 species
GACGAACGCUGGCGGCGUGCUUAACACAUGCAAGUCGAACGGAAAGGCCCUGCUUGCAGGGUACUCGAGUGGCGAACGGGUGAGUAACACGUGGGUGAUCUGCCCUGCACUUCGGGAUAAGCUUGGGAAACUGGGUCUAAUACCGGAUAGGAACCAUCCUUAGUGUGGUGGUUGGAAAGUUUUUUCGGUGUAGGAUGAGCUCGCGGCCUAUCAGCUUGUUGGUGGGGUAAUGGCCUACCAAGGCGGCGACGGGUAGCCGGCCUGAGAGGGUGUACGGCCACAUUGGGACUGAGAUACGGCCCAGACUCCUACGGGAGGCAGCAGUGGGGAAUAUUGCACAAUGGGCGCAAGCCUGAUGCAGCGACGCCGCGUGGGGGAUGAAGGCCUUCGGGUUGUAAACUCCUUUCGCUAGGGACGAAGCUUUGUUGUGACGGUACCUAGAUAAGAAGCACCGGCUAACUACGUG